GUUGUUUUAUCAGUGCAUAUACUAAAACUGUAAUGAUACAGAGAUGAUUAGCAUGGCCCUUGCACAAGGAUGACACACACAUUUGUGAAGUGUUCUACAUUUUU